CCCCCCCCCCCCCCCCGCCCGAGCCGCCGGCGGUGCUCCUCCUGUCGCGCAGAGCAGGGCGGCCGGCGCGCCCCCCUCAGGGACGUUCGGGGAAGGACCAGAGGUGGGGCGCCGGCGGCAGGGAGCUAGGUGAGGCGGAGGGUCCCGUCUCCGGCGACGAAGCCAUGGAUGUUCAACCAGAACAUCAUGUUCGCGUUGACCUCUGUGGGCUGCUGCUUCUCCAACAUCGUCUGCAAGAAGUGGUACAUCGACAUGAACAAUAGAGCUGGAGAGUUCAAGGAGCCGGACUGGUUCUUGAACAGAAAGAAGGGCGGCAUGUUCCUGACCAGGAAGGACUACAACUUUAUUUGGUUCCCAAAUUUUUCAUAAGAAUCUGCAACCGUAUGAGUAGCAAGUAAAUUUGGCAUAGCUAUUCAAUUCAGCGCAUCUUGCAGUACAGUACUGCGGUGCACGGAGAAGCGGCGCAACCUGUGGCGCGAGCUGCUGUACAUGAGCGGCGGAGGGAUGGACCUUUUUGUUGUUCCCCGCUCACGAGCUGUUCUCGGUACGCGCUGUUCUUGGUGCGGUUUAGCUCAUGGGGAAAAUAAGCAGAUGUUUCUUCAAGUAAUUUGGGAUUUGGUCUUUAAGCUACGAUUCCACACCAAGAUUAUGUUCUCUGGAGCUAACCGUGCUGCUGUGCUGGACAGGCAGACGAGGGCCGGCCUGCUGCCGAUACAAGCCGUCGAGGUGGACGGCCAGCGCUAAAUCAUUUGCAGGUAUCUAGAGUUACAUUCCGGUGGCUGAGAUGCAUAUAGUUGUUGGCUGUAGUUCCUUCCAUUUGUCCGCUCGACGUGGAGAUUGACCCUCUAUGUAGCAUGCAACACUCAGCUGGGAAAUGCACUUAUAGGAACUAAUCAAUCACUUUGCUGAACUCAGUCUGUUGUCCAGUUUCCGCAGACAUUUGUCAGCUGGCAAGAAGGUUGAAGGCACAUCGACUUGCUUCGAUUAAUUGGUGGUGCGGGCUGGACGACGCCGAAGUAGUCAUCUUCGCCGGCCCCGUCACUGCGUACGCAUACUCCUUCAAUUUUUCCCUCCUACUGGUGUUGUGAUCUGGAGAAGCUCAAGUAGUCAUCUUCGUCCAUCACGUCACUGCAUACGCAUACGCCUCUGAUUUUUGGCUCCUGCUCAAAGGAAUAGGAACGUUUCCCGCAAAAAAAAGUAAUAGGAAUGUGCUCCUCCCAAAAGACAAAAGCAAGACAAUGCAGACAAUAAAAAUCCAGCACCAACAAUGAAUAGCCGGAGUAAACAAAACAAGCAGACCAAAUCGUGUCGGCCCUCGAGGAAGGGUUGCAGUGUCGAGGAGCAGCAGGCAUGUAAAUCUGACUGCAAUUCAUGUGCAGCUUCAUGAACGUCUGCCAAGGUUCUCAGUGAGGGCUUCCUCUAAGAUGCUUUCAGAUUUUUGAUUAUCUAGCAUAUAUAUGCAGUGAAGAUGUCUCUCCUUUUUGGUACCGCUCUGAAUAGGAUACAUGGUGUUCAUGUUCUGUUAGAUAAUUUUACUCUUGUGUAGUUUGAUUUAAAAGAUGAUAGGUCAGAAUGACAGAAUGUGAUUAGUUUUGCUUUUGCUGCUGCUACACAUGAUUUUACUUUUGUUUUUGAUUGUUUCUUUUUCAGUUUCUUAAGGCUAGAACACUACAGUGAUUGAUUAUGCACCUGAAGGCUUAAUGAAGCUGCUUGGACUGAAUUUCUCUUUAAAAUACAUGGUGCUUGUUUGGGAUGUUUGGGCAAAAAUAGUUGGGAAUUGGUUUUUUAUUAUAUGCAAAGCUUCAAGCCUUGGGGUCUUGCUGACAUUAGUUGUUUCAAGUUCAGACCUUAUUCAUCGCUGACUAUACUCUCUCAAGUCAGGUCACGGUGGAUGGUUUGAGAGGAGGGAGGCAGAGCAGAGACAAACGGCGCAUUCCGCCAUGCAUGUGUAUGGAUUUGUAUCAUCCUACUACUGUGUUGCUUUGUUUUACAGUAAUAAAUAAAGAGAUGAAUCAGAUUUUCUUUGGUUCGUUAGCAAAAUUUUACACAUCAAGUAUUUGAUCUCA